rnacentral:rRNA from 1 species
GGCAUGUGGAGAGCAUGAGCCGGGAAAGGAAAGACCGGUGCAAGCGGGACAGUAGCCAUGCAGGCAAAUCCGUGUGGCAAUACGAAGACGUGACGCGGACCGAAAUAAAGUAGGGAAGCAUGUGAGCCAUGUGCCAAGAAAAGCCGCUAUAGAUCAUACCGUACCCGUACCGUAAACCGACACAGGUAGAUGAGGAGAGAAUCCUAAGGCCGACGGGAGAAGCAUUGUUAAGGAACUCGGCAAAAUGACCCCGUAACUUCGGGAGAAGGGGUGCCCACGCGAGUGGGCCGCAGAGAAUAGGCUCAAGCAACUGUUUAGCAAAAACACAGGUCUAUGCGAAACCGAAAGGUGAGGUAUAUGGGCUGACGCCUGCCCGGUGCUGGAAGGUUAAGAGGAGGAGUCAGGCAACGAAGCUCCGAAUUUAAGCCCCAGUAAACGGCGGCCGUAACGAUAACGGUCCUAAGGUAGCGAAAUUCCUUGUCGGGUAAGUUCCGACCCGCACGAAAGGCGUAAUGAUUUGAGCACUGUCUCGACAAUGCACCCGGUGAAAUUGAAGUACCAGUGAAGAUGCUGGUUACCUGCGCCAGGACGGAAAGACCCCAUGGAGCUUGACUCCAGUUUGAUACUGGGAUUCGAUACUGAAUGUACAGGAUAGGUGGGAGGCUGAGAAGCGUGGACGCCAGUCUGCGGUGAGCCGCUGUUGGGAUACCACCCUUUGAGUAUUGGAUUUCUAACCUGCGCCCGUGACCCGGGCGGGGGACAAUGUCUGACGGGGAGUUUGACUGGGGCGGUCGCCUCCGAAAGGGUAUCGGAGGCGCUCAAAGGUUCCCUCAGAAUGGUUGGAAACCAUUCGCAGAGUGCAAAGGCAGAAGGGAACUUGACUGUGACACCGACGGGUGGAGCAGGUACGAAAGUAGGACUUAGUGAUCCGGUGGUAUGAAAGUGGGAUUGCCAUCGCUCAACGGAUAAAAGCUACCCUGGGGAUAACAGGCUUAUCACUCCCAAGAGUUCACAUCGACGGAGUGGUUUGGCACCUCGAUGUCGGCUCAUCGCAUCCUGGGGCUGUAGCAGGUCCCAAGGGUUGGGCUGUUCGCCCAUUAAAGCGGUACGCGAGCUGGGUUCAGAACGUCGUGAGACAGUUCGGUCCCUAUCCGGCGCAGGCGUAGGAUAUUUGAGAGGAGCUGUCCUUAGUACGAGAGGACCGGGAUGGACAGACCGCUGGUGUAUCUGUUGGUGACCAACACCAUGGCAGAGUAGCCAAGUCUGGCAGGGAUAAACGCUGAAGGCAUCUAAGCGUGAAGCCCCCCUCAAGAUGAGAUAUCCCAAUAAGUAAGACCCCUUAGAGAGUAUGAGGUAGAUAGGCUUAAGGUGUAAGCAUAGUAAUAUGUUCAGCUGAUAAGUACUAAUAGGUCGAGGGCUUAUCGA